rnacentral:rRNA from 1 species
CAGAAACUUAAAUGGAAUUGACGGGGCCCGCACAAGCGGAGGAACAUGUGGUUUAAUUCGAUGAUACGCGAGGAACCUUACCUGGGCUAGAACGCAUUCGGAAUCAGGCCGAAAGGCCUGCGCCAGCGAUGGCCGCUUGCGAGGUGCUGCAUGGUUGUCGUCAGCUCGUGCCGUGAGGUGUCGGGUUAAGUCCCAUAACGAGCGCAACCCCUACUGCUAGUUGCCAGCGGGUCAUGCCGGGGACUCUAGCGGAACUGCCAGCGUAAGCUGCGAGGAAGGUGGGGAUGACGUCAAAUCAGCACGGCCCUUACGUCCAGGGCUACACACGUGUUACAAUGGCCGGUACAGAGGGCAGCCACCCCGCGAGGGGGCGCGAAUCCCGAAAGCCGGUCCCAGUUCGGAUCGGAGUCUGCAACCCGACUCCGUGAAGCUGGAUUCGCUAGUAAUCGCGCAUCAGCCACGGCGCGGUGAAUACGUUCCCGGGCCUU